UACGUAGGGUCCGAGCGUUGUCCGGAAUUAUUGGGCGUAAAGGGCUCGUAGGCGGUUUGUCACGUCGGGAGUGAAAACUCAGGGCUUAACCCUGAGCGUGCUUCCGAUACGGGCUGACUAGAGGGAUGCAGGGGAGAACGGAAUUCCUGGUGUAGCGGUGGAAUGCGCAGAUAUCAGGAGGAACACCGGUGGCGAAGGCGGUUCUCUGGGCAUUUCCUGACGCUGAGGAGCGAAAGCAUGGGGAGCGAACAGG
rnacentral:rRNA from 1 species